AUAAUUUUAUGUAUAAGCAUAUUUUGAAGUAGCCCAAGCUGUGUGUUUUAUAACUAAGAGGUGUUUUUUGUCUUGUAAUUUACAGGAGGCUGUACGGCGUCUCUGAGGCACACUGCAGGCGCUAUGAACCAGAGCAAAGACUAACGUCGCCUCAUAACAAAGCCGUGACCUCCGAUUUGCUUGGGGCUAUUUCAGCAAGUCCAGAUUUAAGUUACUGCUGAGAAUGACGACAUUGUUUCUGCCCGUAAGACGUGUUAUGAGUCGGUACGCCGGAGUUUCAGAUACAAACAACCUGAACUCGCAUCGCAGGCGGAAAAUGCGAAAAGUUUAGCUCGGAGUCGAUCCAGAAGAAAAAUGUUGCUGGAAGCGAGACGAAGUGUUGUUGGCUGAGGAUGAGAUGGACAUUUGGAAGUGCGCCACCAUAGAUCUCAUAUCUGAUGAGGAAUACGGCAUUGUUGGCGGGGUGUCUGGAUGGAUUGUGCGGCCACCGCCCUCUCGCAGCCUGGAACUCUCCGAGCUCUGUGCCACGCUGCAAUCCAGAUUAGAGGCGAUACCAAAGUACCGGGCAACUCACCAUAUACGCGUGAAAAAGUGACUUUUUUACAACGUUUUUGAGGUUUUUUUUCAACACUUUGAAAAAGAUUUUUAGGGAUCUUUCCCGAACAUCUUAGGCACUUUUUGACGUGUUUGGAGUACAAUAUAAGAGACAUUA